rnacentral:rRNA from 1 species
UACGUAGGUGGCAAGCGUUGUCCGGAAUUACUGGGCGUAAAGGGCUCGUAGGCGGCCAACUAAGUCGGAUGUGAAAUCCCCAGGCUUAACCUGGGAACUGCAUCCGAUACUGGAUGGCUUGAAUCCGGGAGAGGGAUGCAGAAUUCCAGGUGUAGCGGUGAAAUGCGUAGAUAUCUGGAGGAAUACCGGUGGCGAAGGCGGCAUCCUGGACCGGCAUUGACGCUGAGUGAGCGAAAGCCAGGGGAGCAAACGGG